GUGCCUCUAAGAAACACUCCUCAGACGACCCAGCUGGAUGGGAACAUCUAUUUCCCGUCAGGCCCACACCUGGAACGACCCUCCCCUCCCGUGAAGUCACGGCCGCUGCUGUCGUCGGAAGGGACUUUCCCAGGUGGAGAAAUCUGGAAGCAGCUUUCGCUUUUCUCCCUGGGGCAUCCUCCCUCCGCAGCAGCGGGGACUGGUGGAACUUUUCCUCAAGCGAAAUCAGAUGCAAGUGGUCUUUGUUCUCUUCCUCCCCGGGGGUCAGGCUCCAUAACUAAUUACUCACAGGCGGUGGGUUAGAACACACUUCUGGGUUCAGUGGUCAGGCUCUCAGCCUCCCCUCUGUGUGGGAAGCUCGGUCUCCGGGGGCCCUGGAGCCACAGUCCCCUGGCAGAGGGUCUGAGGCUCCCGGGAGGCCCUGGCCCCGCGCCCGUCGUGGGGCGGGAGUCACCCGCCCGCAGCCUGGGAAAUUCCCUGGGAGCCGGGAUUUCCUCGCUGGGAUAUUGUUUUCCCUCCGCAGGAAGCCCAGGCAGCCACGUCUGUUCCUGGCAGCGAUCCCGCCGCAGGAUCCCCUGAACUUCCAGCGAUCCCCUGAACUUCCAGUCCGCACACCUGCCGGGUCCUGUGGGAUCCGGGGCAGCACCAGCCAGGGUCCUGGCGCCCUGGGCCAGGCCCGGAGCCUGCCUUUGUUUAAAAGCUUGACGUUUUGGAGUUCCCAUUGUGGCUCAGCAGCUGAAGGACCCGACGUCGCAUCCUGGGACAGAAGCUGAGGCCCUUAGGCUCCAAAUGCACCUGCCGUGCGUCCCUCGCAGACCCGGCUUUUCUCAAAGAACCUGGAGAUCAAAGGCUUUGUCCUCCGGCGGAGGUGCCUUGUUGUCCAGUCCCCGCAUCCAGGCAGCUCGCAGGUGCUGCUUCUGGGUGAAGCUCUGGAAGCCAAAGGUCCCCACAGGUAGGCUCAGGCCCCCAGGGUCGGGGGUGGGCCUCGGACAGGGGCUGCUUGGGCCCUGGGCCCUCCGGAGUUGGCACAAAAUUUACAGGCGCGAGACACUCUGAUGUAAUCAGCUACAACCUCACUCCUCCACCCUGGAUGCCCCCCCGCCCGGGCACAUCUGCCCGCAGGAGGCUCAGGCAUGUGGGGAAGAGGGUUGGGACCUGCCCAGCUCGGUGCAGUGGGGUGUCUGUACUGGGGGUCCUCACCCGCCUCUUGCGACCCCUAAGUCACUGCCAUCCGGAGCGCAGCGGCUGGCAGGAAACUCCUACCCCUGCUGCCCGGCCCCAGUGGCCCUGACCCCCAGGCUGCAGGGUCAGAGGUCAGGUCUGGACGCCCCCAGCACGUCUGCGGACUGGAGAAACGGGGCUUGGGAACCAAGCCAGAAUUCAUCGGCGGAAGAGUCCUCCAGAGGUGACGGCUCGUGUAAAAGCAGCGCAGAGCACUUCGGCAGAGCCUUUCCCACAUUCCGUGUCCUGAAGGUGCCCUUGACAACAUCAGGAAAGAAAGCUUUCCGUCAAUAAUUAGACAGAAAUUCUGAUUAACCACAAGCGAGGAAAGGCUGAAUCGUCUUACUCUCUUUAUAGGAAGUAUUACAACAUCGUUGUCACAUGCAGAGACCUCAAAGGAGCCCGUUGAAAAUGUAGAAAAUAAGGGAAUUAUGCAGAUGUGUUGAUUAAUUAAUGAAAGCUGAUGUCACAGGUUUGGAUUC
rnacentral:lncRNA from 1 species